rnacentral:rRNA from 1 species
GACGAACGCUGGCGGCGUGCCUAAUACAUGCAAGUUGAGCGAUGAAGAUUGGUACUUGCACCAAUUUGAAGAGCAGCGAACGGGUGAGUAACGCGUGGGGAAUCUGCCUUUGAGCGGGGGACAACAUUUGGAAACGAAUGCUAAUACCGCAUAACAACUUUAAACAUAAGUUUUAAGUUUGAAAGAUGCAAUUGCAUCACUCAAAGAUGAUCCCGCGUUGUAUUAGCUAGUUGGUGAGGUAAAGGCUCACCAAGGCGAUGAUACAUAGCCGACCUGAGAGGGGGAUCGGCCACAUUGGGACUGAGACACGGCCCAAACUCCUACGGGAGGCAGCAGUAGGGAAUCUUCGGCAAUGGACGAAAGUCUGACCGAGCAACGCCGCGUGAGUGAAGAAGGUUUUCGGAUCGUAAAACUCUGUUGGUAGAGAAGAACGUUGGUGAGAGUGGAAAGCUCAUCAAGUGACGGUAACUACCCAGAAAGGGACGGCUAACUACGUG